UGAUGAUUUUCUGUAAACUUUUUGUUGUUUUCUUGUGCUGACUAGGUUUUAAUUUGUUUCAACUACAACAUGCUCGUAGUAGUAUUCAGCUUCUUGGAACAAGCAAAUUUUAUUCUAGACUAAACAGGAAUAAUAAAUAGAAAAUCGGAUACUGUUAUGUUAUUAUGUAUAGUGGACAAAUUUUGUUACUUGGAUCCGAUCAUGUGGUCAUUUAAUAUAAAUAAUUACUCAUUGGUUAUUAGUUUUCAUGUACAGUCAGAUUUUUACGAGAUAUCACACGGUAUUAUACUUUUCACAUUAUUACAGUGGCACCAUCGAUAGUACACAUGACAAUCUCUAAUACUAUGAAGAGGGAGAUUCAUCAUCUGUCCUGCGCUGCGACCCAUGAUCUGCACCUGUAAGAAAAACCGUUGCCAAAAAAGAUCAUGGCGAAAGAACCAGUUUGCAUGUGUGUUCAUGCUAAUGUGUUUCAAUUCGAGCAUGACAAAGUAGUCAGCACGGGACAUCAUUGAGGUGUGGAAGGGUUAGGUGGAAGAGGACAGCCUCGCCACCAUACGAAGGCCGUCAGCGAGGCCAUGGCUAUGAUGCUGCACCUGCAGAGGGAGAAGGCCCAUGUCCAGAUGGACCUUUGCCAGUUCUUUUGCCUUGCCGACAGGAAGCUCGUCAUUCUUGCCGCCAAGCUUGAGAUUAUGGUUCCCACUGCAGCGUCAAGGACAGCGAAGAAAUCAACAUGAUAUUCGACGCCGAAGAGAAGGGUUUGAGAUUCACCACAUCUUCUCUCUGUCCGUCUACAUACCUCAUAUGCUCAGAGUGUUCUUUGCUCAUAGAAGGUUAUAUCAUAAUUUUUAAGAGGAGAAGCGUAUCAUUGUAACAAUAGUAAUUCAUGUUCUCUGCUAGAUUGAACUAUCAAAGUGAUGAACUGUGAAAGCUAUUCUGUUUUUA